AAAAUAAACAGUUGGUUCGGUGAAACCAGAAUGUUUAAGUUAUGUGCUUUUAACAAUUAUUUCUUGUGCUGAAAAUCAAGGUUCUCAACAGUAUCUUGGCGGAAAAAUGUGGAAGCAAAGUCCACUUAGCUGCAAAAUAAUUUCAUUGAGGCGUGAUAUUGGUCAGAAUAAUAUUCUUUUGGAUGCAGCUUUCCGGACGCCCAAACAAAGACAAACUAACUAUUUUGCCCAUAAAUUUUAUAUAACGAAACAUAUAUCAUACAAAUAAAUAAUCAAAAUGUAACAUACACUUGUUUUUAUUUUUC